CGCAUAUCACUACUAUGUAUAGUUUCUCUGUUUGACCUAUCCUCCAAAUUAUUAAUAGCGUUAAAAUCCCCCGUUAAGAGGAGGGGGUCUUGAACACUAGAGUGCACUUUUCUUAGCUCAGUCCACAACUCUCUUCUUCUCUCAACUGUAUUCAUGUCAUAGACAUCUACAAAUUAAAAUCUUACAUUCUGUCUUCUUACCACUCCAAAAAUACAUUAUUCAUAUAUAAUUUUCACAGUGAAGCUUAGGUUGUGCAGAUUCCAUAGCAUCCAAAUUCUCCUUUUAUCAUGGGAGUUAAAAUUUGCAACCCAAUUCCAUUCAUUUGCUAAUCUCUUUAUUAUAGUCGAAGCACGUUCUCAUUGAUUUUAUGCUCUACUAUAGCUAAUAGUCUACUUUAUUUUCAUGUAUAAACAUCCUUAACUCUCUUUGCCUAUGAUCUUUAUUCAGCCCUCUAACAUUCCACGUGAUCAUCUUCAUUUGGAC
rnacentral:lncRNA from 1 species